rnacentral:lncRNA from 10 species
GAUCAUUUAUAUUUAGAUUAUAGUUGGGUCAGCCUGAGGCAAUAUGAUGUGUAUGAGGUACUAAAAAGCGUGCUUUGUAUGUCUGGCUGGCUUUUCUAUGCUCUUCCUAUCCCCAUCCUAGAUUCCCAGUACCCUGGUGCUCUUUCCCUUCUCCUGACUAAGCAGAGAAGCUGAUAUCCUACUUCCCUCCCUUCUCUUCGCUUUCCUUCAUAUCCCUUCCCUUCCUCUCCCUUGUCCUUCCUUCCAUUUUCUUCUUUCUUUCCUUCCCUUAUCCCUCCCUUCCUUCCUUGCAUGCAAUUACUCAACCAGUAUUUACCGAGCCACUUGCAUCUCACUGUGGAUGGGGAGCUCUGUGAACUGGAGAAAGAUAUGGAGAUUUGGGGACAAGGACCACAGUCAGCUGCCAAACUCAUGCCAGGAGAGUGGCCACCUACUUGCCAAUUAUAUGUCAUAAUGAGUCUCCAAUUAUGGGAGGCCAAGGCUCAUUUUGGCCACUAUAUUAAAAUUGAUGCUGAAACUGAAGUUCCAACAUAAGAGAAAACACGAGAAGCCACACAAGAGAAGCCCUGCCAGUUUAUUUGUCCAUCAGUCCCUGGAUUUCAGUUCAGGCACUUAGACUUUUAACCCCAGAAUUUAGUAUACAUUUCAAUAAUUAAACAUGAAGCCAUUUCUUUACUCGUUUCAUUCUUUAAUGCUGAAAUCCUGGCAUCCUUCAUUCCUAAAUAUAAUACAUGCCAGUAUGUGGCAGGGGGUAUUAGCUUACCAGAGCACCAUUAUCCCCCAAACCCUGUGCCAAGGAGGUCACUUUACAUGGGCAUACUUACUGGGACAGCCAGCCCAUGCCUCAUUUGAGCCUGGAGGUAACAUCAGGAGAAUGGACAUCA